UAGGUAGUAGUUUAAUUAAAAAUAAAAUACUUUGUAUAUUUAGUUGCUUUCAAAGAGUCGCCUAU
rnacentral:tRNA from 1 species